rnacentral:rRNA from 1 species
GCGUGGGGAGCGAACCGGAUUAGAUACCCGGGUAGUCCACGCCGUAAACGAUGGAUACUAGCUGUUGGAGGUAUCGACCCCUUCAGUAGCGAAGCUAACGCGUUAAGUAUCCCGCCUGUGGAGUACGGUCGCAAGACUAAAACAUAAAGGAAUUGACGGGGACCCGCACAAGCGGUGGAUCGUGUUCUUUAAUUCGAUGAUAAACGAAGAACCUUACCAGGGUUUGACAUCCUUGGAAUUUCUGUGAAAGCAGAGAGUGCUUUAUUGAGCCAAGUGACAGGUGAUGCAUGGCCGUCGUCAGCUCGUGUCGUGAGAUGUUUGGUUAAGUCCAUCAACGAGCGCAACCCUUGUGAAUAGUUGUAUUUUUCUAUUCAGACUGCCCCGGUAACGGGGAGGAAGGAGGGGAUGAUGUCAGGUCAGUACUUCCCUUACACCCUGGGCUAGAAACACGAUACAAUGGUUAGUACAAUGCGCANGCGAANGCCGCGAGGUGGGGCAAAUCGCAUCAAAGCUAAUCUCAGUUCGGAUAAGAGGCUGAAACUCGCCUCUUUGAAGUCGGAAUCGCUAGUAAUCGCAGAUCAGCAAGCUGCGGUGAAUACGUUCCCGGGUCUUGUACACACCGCCCGUCAAACCAUGAAAGUGACCAACACCCGAAGUCCGAUUCGUCGGCCUAAGGUGGGGGGCAUGAUUGGGGUU